rnacentral:rRNA from 1 species
AACGAACGCUGGCGGCAUGCCUAACACAUGCCAGUCGAACGAGACCUUCGGGUCUAGUGGCGCACGGGUGCGUAACGCGUGGGAACCUGCCCUUAGGUUCGGAAUAACUCCCCGAAAGGGGUGCUAAUACCGGAUAAUGUCUUCGGCCCAAAGAUUUAUCGCCUUUGGAUGGGCCCGCGUUGGAUUAGCUAGUUGGUAGGGUAAAAGCCUACCAAGGCGACGAUCCAUAGCUGGUCUGAGAGGAUGAUCAGCCACACUGGGACUGAGACACGGCCCAGACUCCUACGGGAGGCAGCAGUGGGGAAUAUUGGACAAUGGGCGAAAGCCUGAUCCAGCAAUGCCGCGUGAGUGAUGAAGGCCUUAGGGUUGUAAAGCUCUUUUACCCGGGAUGAUAAUGACAGUACCGGGAGAAUAAGCCCCGGCUAACUCCGUG